rnacentral:rRNA from 1 species
AUUGAACGCUGGCGGAAUGCUUUACACAUGCAAGUCGAACGGCAGCACGGGAGCUUGCUCCUGGUGGCGAGUGGCGAACGGGUGAGUAACAUAUCGGAACGUACCCCGUCGUGGGGGAUAACUCUCCGAAAGGAGUGCUAAUACCGCAUACGACCUGAGGGUGAAAGCGGGGGACCUGCAAGGGCCUCGCGCGAUGGGAGCGGCCGAUAUCGGAUUAGCUAGUUGGUGAGGUAAAGGCUCACCAAGGCGACGAUCCGUAGCGGGUCUGAGAGGACGACCCGCCACACUGGAACUGAGACACGGUCCAGACUCCUACGGGAGGCAGCAGUGGGGAAUUUUGGACAAUGGGGGAAACCCUGAUCCAGCCAUUCCGCGUGAGUGAAGAAGGCC